UAGGGAAUCUUCCACAAUGGACGACAAGUCUGAUGGAGACAACGCCGCGUGAGUGAAGAAGGUCUUCGGAUACGUAAAACUCUGUUGUUAGAGAAGAACACGAGUGAGAGUAACUGUUCAUUCGAUGACGGUAUCUAACCAGCAAGUCACGGCUAACUACGUGACAG
rnacentral:rRNA from 1 species